rnacentral:lncRNA from 1 species
GAGACUCACUUGAGUCCAGGAGUUCAAGACCAGCCUGGGCAACACAGCAAGACCCUACCUCUUAAAAAAGAAAAUUAGUCGGCUGUGGUGGUGCAUGCCUGUAGUCCUAGCUACUCAAGAGGCUGAGAAAGGAGGAUUGCUUGAGCCCAGGAGGUUAAGGCUGCAGUGAGCCAAGAUUGCACCACUGCACUCCAGCCUGGGUGACAGAGCGAGACUCCGUCUCAAAAUAAAUAAAUAAAAUAAAAUGAGCUUUAGUAUUAAUAGUACCCAAAUGCGAAACUAGAGUUUGAUUUUCAAUCUUUCUUAAAAUGACAAAAAUUUCUUGGAUUAUUGGUCUGCUCUUAAUAAAAUACUGUAAAAAGUUUUUCUUACCUUUUAAGUAAUCUACCCAUAAAACAAAGAUUCUAUGCCUUAGCACGAUAAUUUUCUAUGUUGUCUUUAUGGUGUCCUCAAUUAUUUAAGGGAACCAAACCUCAUUUUUAAAAGAGCUAAGAUUUCCCUUACAAUCAUGUUACCUCCUAUAUUUACCUUUGAAAUCUUUAUCACUUUGAUUAAAUAGGUAACUAAGUACAGCUCCUAACUUAUGAUGGUUAAAUUUACAAUUUUUUGACUUUAUGAUAGUGUGAAGGUAAAACACAUUUAAUAUGCUCCUUGACUUACUACGAUGAGAUUACAUCUGGAUAAACCCAUUGUAAGCUGAAAAUAUGACAAUUGUUUUAUGUCAAUGCUUUUCUAAAAGCUCUUGCCAUCAACUACAGGCCAGAAUGCUUCAUCUUUAACAAAAGGGGACCAUUUCAGAUACCCAUGAAGAGGACCAUGCCAGGUUCAGAGGGUACAUGUGCGGAUUUGUUACUUGGAUAAUUUGCACGUCGCUGAGGUUUGGUGUACAAAUGAUCCUAUCACCCCGAGUAGUGAGCAUAGGACACGACAGAUCCUUACCUCACAAGGCCUGACCAGUGUCUUCAAUAAACCCACUUCCUUGUUUGUGAAACAUCUGGGGAAGUAUUAAAUGGGGGAAAGGAAGGAAUUAACAGCCCACCAAAAUGGUGUGAAAAUUACUUUAAACUCAAAACAUCUUCACAAUCAGCAGCCACAGAAAGAAACAUUAUCUAAACUUAGGCAGAGCCUCCUGAAUUACAGCUUCUAUGACCCCCUCUGAGGGAGUUUCCCGAUUGUGAGAAGACUCAUCCUAGGAUCAGCGAGUGAGGAUUUAGCUGUCCCUUAUCAUCACAAGGCCCAAUAGAAACUUCCCUACUUUCCCAUGGAGUCCAAACCCCACUCCCCCUCUCUGUUAAGUUGGUAUAUAAACCUUUAACUCUGCAGCCAUAAAAAAGAAUGAGAUCAUGUCCUUUGCAGGGAAGUGGGUGGAGCCUGUAAACCAUUAUCCUAAGCAAACUAACACAGGAACAAAUACUGCAUGUUCUCACUUAUAAGUGGGAGCUAAAGGAUGGGAACACAUGGACACACAGAGGGGAACAACACACACUGGGCCCUAUUGGAGGGUGGAGGUUGUGAGGAGGGAGAGGAUCAGAAAAAAUAACUAAUAGGUACUGGGCUUAAUGGCUGGGUGAUGAAAUAAUCUGUUCAACAAACCCUCAUGACACACGUUUACCUAUGUAUCAAACCUGCACUUGUACCCCUGAACUUAAAAUAAAAGCAAAAAACAAAAAACCAAAAACCUUUACCUCUGAGUAUUCAGGGAGUUGCCCAUUAUUGAAUAUUUCACAUGUACAUGUAAAUAAACCUUGUCCUUUCUUUUGUUAAUCUGUCCAUUGUUACUUAAUUCUCAGGCCUCUGACCAUUGAACCAAAGUGAGUAGAGAAAAAAAUUUUCCUCUUAGACUGUCUGGGC